rnacentral:rRNA from 1 species
UACCUAUAAGACUGGGAUAACUUCGGGAAACCGGAGCUAAUACCGGAUAAUAUAUUGAACCGCAUGGUUCAAUAGUGAAAGACGGUUUUGCUGUCACUUAUAGAUGGAUCCGCGCCGCAUUAGCUAGUUGGUAAGGUAACGGCUUACCAAGGCAACGAUGCGUAGCCGACCUGAGAGGGUGAUCGGCCACACUGGAACUGAGACACGGUCCAGACUCCUACGGGAGGCAGCAGUAGGGAAUCUUCCGCAAUGGGCGAAAGCCUGACGGAGCAACGCCGCGUGAGUGAUGAAGGUCUUCGGAUCGUAAAACUCUGUUAUUAGGGAAGAACAAAUGUGUAAGUAACUAUGCACGUCUUGACGGUACCUAAUCAGAAAGCCACGGCUAACUACGUGCCAGCAGCCGCGGUAAUACAUAGGUGGCAAGCGUUAUCCGGAAUUAUUGGGCGUAAAGCGCGCGUAGGCGGUUUUUUAAGUCUGAUGUGAAAGCCCACGGCUCAACCGUGGAGGGUCAUUGGAAACUGGAAAACUUGAGUGCAGAAGAGGAAAGUGGAAUUCCAUGUGUAGCGGUGAAAUGCGCAGAGAUAUGGAGGAACACCAGUGGCGAAGGCGACUUUCUGGUC